AAACCAACAGGGAUUGCCCUAGUAACGGCGAGUGAAGCGGCAACAGCUCAAAUUUGAAAGCUAGCCUUCGGGUUCGCAUUGUAAUUUGUAGAGGAUGAUUUGGGGAAGCCGCCUGUCUAAGUUCCUUGGAACAGGACGUCAUAGAGGGUGAGAAUCCCGUAUGUGACAGGAAAUGGCACCCUAUGUAAAUCUCCUUCGACGAGUCGAGUUGUUUGGGAAUGCAGCUCUAAAUGGGAGGUAAAUUUCUUCUAAAGCUAAAUAUUGGCGAGAGACCGAUAGCGCACAAGUAGAGUGAUCGAAAGAUGAAAAGCACUUUGGAAAGAGAGUUAAAAAGCACGUGAAAUUGUUGAAAGGGAAGCGCUUGCAAUCAGACUUGUUUAAACUGUUCGGCCGGUCUUCUGACCGGUUUACUCAGUUUGGACAGGCCAGCAUCAGUUUCGGCGGCCGGAUAAAGGCUCUGGGAAUGUGGCCUCCACUUCGGUGGAGGUGUUAUAGCCCAGGGUGUAAUACGGCCAGCCGGGACUGAGGUCC
rnacentral:rRNA from 1 species